AAGAAACAGAAACAAGAUGAAAGAAAGGGAGCAUGGAGAAAGGGAAGAUAGAAAAGAUUCAUAUUCUUAUCUGUUUUUUCUAUUCCCCACUCCUGCUUCCUCUU
rnacentral:ribozyme from 1 species